rnacentral:rRNA from 1 species
UACGUAGGGUGCGAGCGUUAAUCGGAAUUACUGGGCGUAAAGCGUGCGCAGGCGGUUUUGUAAGCCAGAUGUGAAAUCCCCGGGCUUAACCUGGGAACUGCAUUUGGGACUGCAAGGCUUGAGUACGGCAGAGGAGACUGGAAUUCCUGGUGUAGCAGUGAAAUGCGUAGAUAUCAGGAGGAAUACCGAUGGCGAAGGCAGGUCUCUGGGCUGACACUGACGCUCAUGCACGAAAGCGUGGGGAGCAAACAGG